AGAGUUUGAUCCUGGCUCAGGGUAAACGCUGGCGGCGUGCCUAAAACAUGCAAGUUGCACGCAAGCUUCGGCUUGAGUGGCAGACGGCUGAGUAACGCGUGGGUGACAUACCCAUUGGUGGGGAAUAACUGCCCGAAAGGGUGGCUAAUACCGCAUACGUCUGGAGCAUCAACGCUUCAGGGAAAGUCGCAAGGCGCCGA
rnacentral:rRNA from 1 species